CUACGGAGUACAAUAAAGCUUAUUUAUAGACUAUUUAACCUAACUUACUAGACCUGUACAAAUAUUUAUGUCAUGUGACUUUUUAUGGUCGAAGUCUUAUAUCUAGUUUUGAGAGGACAUAUCUUCUCAAUGUUCUUUGAAAACUGAAUAGUAAAAUAUUUUUCGAUAUUUACAACGACAUCAAACAAAUAAAUUAAUUUGGUUAAUUUGUUUUGAUUCAUCGAGUAAUCAUACAAUAUAUAUGAUUCAUUGAAAUGUCUUAAAAUACACAUCUAAACAUAACAAACAAUAGGAAAAUACUA
rnacentral:misc_RNA from 1 species